CAUUAAAGAAGCUAAAAUCAGCAUUAACCUUUUAAGUUAAAGACUGGGACAUAACCUCCCCUUAAUGA
rnacentral:tRNA from 1 species